UCACCUACACUCUGCACCUGAAG
rnacentral:snRNA from 1 species